AAGCGUGCGGAGUAAUAGGGAAUCCGGUGCGAAUCCGGAACAGUGCUCGCUGCUGUAAGUCCUGUUUCCUUUCGGGGAAUAGUUCGAUCGCUCUCUUUUGCCACUGGCCAUGAAGCCGGGAAGGCGCGACGGACGGGAUGAGUCAGAAGACCUGCCUUUGCACGA
rnacentral:ncRNA from 1 species